CACCGCGGUUAAACGAGAGACCCAAGUAGACGGCCCCCGGCGUAAAGAGUGGUUAAAAUGCAGAAGAAACUAAAGCCAAAUAGCCUCAUAACUGUUAUACGUCCAUGAGAACAAGAAGCCCAACCACGAAAGUGGCUUUACACAUUUGACCCCACGAAAGCUAAGACA
rnacentral:rRNA from 2 species